AUUGAACGCUAGCGGCAGGCCUAACACAUGCAAGUCGAGCGCGAGGCGGACGGGUGAGUAAUAUAUGGGGAUCUGCCCGAUAGCGGGGGAUAACUACUGGAAACGAUGGCUACUACCGCAUACUAUCCGAUGAACCCAUAUGGGAUUAGGUAGUGGGGGGGGUAAAGGCUCACCUAGGCGACGAUCUCUAGCUGGUCUGUGAGGAUGAUCAGCCACACUGGGACGGAGACACGGCCCAGACUCCUACGGGAGGCAGCAGUGGGGAAUAUUGCACAAUGGGCGCAAGCCUGAUGCAGCCAUGCCGCGGGUAUGAAGAAGGCCUUAGGGUUGGAAAGUACUUUCAGCGGGGAGGCGUUACCUGCAGAAGAAGCACCGGCUAACUCCGUGCCAGCAGCCGCGGUAAUUC
rnacentral:rRNA from 1 species